UGAUACCAUUUGUGAAAAAGAGACCCUUCCUGGCAAGCAAAGAAGCAGCAGUCUACAAGUAGGAAAUGCAGGGAACGCAGAAGAGUCGUUUGUAAGCACUUGGGCACCCUGAGCUGAAGACAGAGGCUUGAGGCACACUUCAUUCCGGGCGUAGCUGGUUCCAGCUCCAGGAAUGAACAGACUCCCAUAUGCCUCUCACUUGGGAACUGGCAUUAUCCCAGCCAAGACAGGAGAAAAAAACAAUGGUUUCAGUUGGCCAAAGGGUCAAGAGGCUGAGGCUAAAUGCUGCAUCACUCUGGAGGGAUGCAGGGAGCAGCAGCCUCUUGAAGAACCCUUUGUGAAUAAAAAGUGUCCAGGUUUUCCUGCUUUAAAAAA